CAGUACAGAGACACUUCCACAUUAUGGCAUUCCCAAGCAAUCAUGUGGUCUACAAGAAAGAGAAACUAAGCAGGAAAAGACACUUAAUACUUUUACAGACAGAUAUAUAGAAAAUUUAUGUUUAAGACAAAAUGGAACUUGGGCUUAUAGCAAAUAUAUUAUUGCAAAUAGCUGACAUGUUAACCAAUUUUAAACAGACUAACCAGCCUGUCAU